CUCGGCCCUCGCUGACCAGGUCGGUGAGCGCGCGGUACCAGCCCUCCUGCUCCUGCUCGUUCUCGGCCGCCACUGCGAAGUACUCGUCCUUGGUGUAGAGGGCAAUCAGAUGUUAAUGAUUACGAGCAGACGAACCUGGGUCCAAGUGUAACCUGAACAACAAAAGACCCGCCGCAGCUCCCUGUGGCUCGUUGUCUGAAGCGCUGAGUCCGUUAACCGGCUUUGAUUUGCAGUCACCUUACACACUCAGACCCUUACAAGGAAACGUUAUUUCUAAAAGCAUCUCGAGCUGGCAGAUGUGAUGGGACGGUCUACCUCACGUCAGUCUUGCGUCAUCCUAUUCCACUGAUCAGCUGUAUCGUUUGGUGCGGCCCUUCCUUGGGCAACCCUAGGUGCUGUUACAUAGGGUCACCGCGGAAGGCAUGAUAUUCCACGAUAAGACCCAGUGAUUGUUCCUGGAGGGCUGAUCUCCUAGAUGUACCCGAACGUAUGAGCUCCCCAAAUGACACUCCU